UGGUCAGCACAAUCAUUCAGUUACACUGAUUUAUGUUUCAGAAGCAGUAAUGACAGGAGCGGUCAUGAUAAACCAGGCAGUGGGUGCCACGUACUCGGAGGAUGAGCUACAUCAUUCUGCAAAUCUGGCCAUUAAUCACAGAGAGAAGCUCUACCUGGUGAACAAACGAUCCCCUCCGGUCCUGACCUUCAUUUUUCUAUAUUAAUCAGAAGCUCCUGAAAAAGGAGAUGACUCAGAGGCUGAACACCAGAG
rnacentral:lncRNA from 13 species